UAAAAAAAAGUGCAGGUCCAACUAGGAAUCACAAAUAAAAAAAGUCCACAAAAGCUCACACAAGGCAAUAUUAGGGAAGCUGUCUUGAGGGGUUGCUUUCUUCUCCACCUCCCUAUCGAAACCGCCGUCGUGUUUAUCUCCUCUUUUAAACUAAUCCAUGGACCAGAGCAAGCUCAAGAGAUGCUCCGCAUCAUCAUCCUCCCAUGCUGAAGCAGCUGCUGAGGCUACAGAUCCUUAAGAAAAUAAUUGAGUCUCUCUUUAUUUGCUAUGCCAUAGUUCUUGUUCUGUCAGAAAGAGAGUUGAAUGAUUUGGAGACAGAAGUCAAUUGUCGGAAGAGGCAGAAGCAGGAGGAAGAAACCACAGAGAAGAAAAAAAAGUGUUGUUUUGGCACUAAAGAUGCAGAGGGAAACAAUGAGCAUACCAUAUUCGUCACGGGUUUUGAUAAUAGCGGUUCUAGGGAUGAGAUCAGGAGCGCAUUGGCUAAACAUUUCAGUUCAUGUGGAGAGUUGACGAGGGUUUUUGUUCACAUCGAGUGUGAAACCGGUGUUUCCAGAGGAUAUGCUUUUUAUUAAUCUGAAAAAACGUGUUGGCAUUGAGGCGGCGUUAUCUCUCAAUGGAAGCGACUUGGGAGGUCGGAAGCUUCUGGUUACCAUGGCUACACUUAGAGACGAAUAUUAUGGCCACGUUAACUUUAAAGGCUGUGAAAUUUGUUUUGCUAUGUUUGCUGCCGCCAGACGGAGACUGACAAGAUGGAAACUUAAAACUGGUGGUGGCAAAUUCAGGCGCCUCUCUCCAGAACUUGAAGAAAAGUUUCGUCUUCGUAGGAAAGAAUUAAUGGCUUCUCGCAAGAUUGAGAAGUCUAAAACCAAAGACGGCUAAUAUUUUCUACUUGUUUCUCGACCAGCUCCAUCAAACGCUUUUUUUUUCUAUUAUCUUGAUGUGCUAUUUAACAUAUAUUAUACUAUCUUAGCUGCACUUUUUAUGCUUCAAUCAGAUUAUGAAUUUUUUUUUAUAAACC